UACGUAGGGGGCAAGCGUUGUCCGGAUUUAUUGGGCGUAAAGAGCGUGUAGGCGGCUUUGCAAGUCCGUUGUGAAAACUCGAGGCUCAACCUCGAGACGCCGGUGGAAACUGCAAAGCUAGAGUCCGGAAGAGGAGAGUGGAAUUCCUGGUGUAGCGGUGAAAUGCGCAGAUAUCGGGAGGAACACCAGUGGCGAAGGCGAGUCUCUGGGAUGAUGCUGACGCUGAGGCGCGAAAGCCAGGGGAGCAAACGGG
rnacentral:rRNA from 1 species